ensembl:misc_RNA Metazoa_SRP Metazoan signal recognition particle RNA
GCCGGGUGUGGUGGCUCACACCUGUAAUCCCAGCACUUUGGGAGGCUGAGGCAGGUGGAUCACCUGAGAUCAGGAGUUCGAGACCAGCCUGACCAACAUGGUGAAACCCUGUCUCUA